UACGUAGGUGGCAAGCGUUAUCCGGAAUUAUUGGGCGUAAAGAGGGGGCAGGCGGCAGCAAAGGUCUGUGGUGAAAGACUGAAGCUUAACUUCAGUAAGCCAUAGAAACCGGGCAGCUAGAGUGCAGGAGAGGAUCGUGGAAUUCCAUGUGUAGCGGUGAAAUGCGUAGAUAUAUGGAGGAACACCAGUGGCGAAGGCGACGAUCUGGCCUGCAACUGACGCUCAGUCCCGAAAGCGUGGGGAGCAAAUAGG
rnacentral:rRNA from 1 species